UACGAAGGGGGCGAGCGUUGUUCGGAUUUACUGGGCGUAAAGGGCGCGCAGGCGGCCGCAUUUGUCAGGCGUGAAAGCCCCGGGCUUAACCUGGGAACUGCGUUUGAUACGGUGUGGCUAGAGUUCGGGAGAGGAGAGUGGAAUUCCCAGUGUAGAGGUGAAAUUCGUAGAUAUUCGCAAGAACACCAGUGGCGAAGGCGGCUCACUGGCCCGAUACUGACGCUGAGGCACGAAAGCGUGGGGAGCAAACAGG
rnacentral:rRNA from 1 species